rnacentral:rRNA from 1 species
GACGAACGCUGGCGGCGUGCCUAAUACAUGCAAGUAGAACGCUAAAGGAGGAGCUUGCUUCUCUGGAUGAGUUGCGAAUGGGUGAGUAACGCGUAUGUAACCUGCCUGGUAGCUGGGGAUAACUAUUGGAAACGAUAGCUAAUACCGCAUAAGAGUAGAUGUCGCAUGACAUUUGCUUAAACGUUGCAAUUGCAUCACUACCAGAUGCACCUGCGUUGUAUUAGCUAGUUGGUGAGGUAACGGCUCACCAAGGCAACGAUACAUAGCCGACCUGAGAGGGUGGUCAGCCACACUGGGACUGAGACACGGGCCAGACUCCUACGGGAGGGAGGAGUAGGGAAUCUUCGGCAAUGGACGGAAGGCUGACCGAGCAACGCCGGGUGAGUGAAGAAGGUUUUCGGAUCGGAAAGCUCUGUUGUAAGAGAAGAACGAGUGUGAGAGUGGAAAGUUCACACUGUGACGGUAUCUUACCAGAAAGGGACGGCUAACUACGUG